CUUGGAGAGUCCUGUGCACUCAGAUUCUGAGAUACUAAGGCCAACUUCAAGUGAGCACACUGCCCAACAUUCAGCUCUGGAAAUGCAAGCCAGAGGCACUGGAACGCCCUGGAGCGGGGGUGGAAGGUGCGUUGUCUGGGCCAGUGGGGAUAACAGUGCCUUCAGAGUGUGAGAAAGAAGAGAACAGGAGCUGCAAGAACCAACAUAUUGAACCCUCCCCGACUGUCAGUUCUUGUCCAGGCACAAACGUAUUCCAGCCACACAGUCGUGUAGGGUGGCAUCCACUCAUCUUUCCCAGGGAAGAGAAGGGCAGCUUAAUGCCCUGUCCAGAAUAAUCAGAAUUAAAACAGAGAGUGUG
rnacentral:lncRNA from 1 species